GACGAACGCUGGCGGCGUGCUUAACACAUGCAAGUCGAGCGGUAAGGCCCUUUCGGGGGUACACGAGCGGCGAACGGGUGAGUAACACGUGGGUGACCUGCCCUCAGCUCUGGGAUAAGCCUGGGAAACCGGGUCUAAUACUGGAUAUGACUCCAUGACGCAUGUUGUGGGGUGGAAAGCCUUGUGCGGCUGAGGAUGGGCCCGCGGCCUAUCAGCUUGUUGGUGGGGUGAGGCCUACCAAGGCGACGACGGGUAGCCGGCCUGAGAGGGCGACCGGCCACACUGGGACUGAGACACGGCCCAGAUUCCUACGGGAGGCAGCAGUGGGGAAUCUUGCGCAAUGGGCGAAAGCCUGACGCAGCGACGCCGCGUGAGGAUGACGGCCU
rnacentral:rRNA from 1 species